rnacentral:lncRNA from 1 species
AAUCUCAAACAUGAAUGUUUUCUAGUAACAAACUCACUUAGAUAUUCGUCUAUCCUGCUAUCGUCCCCUGCUACCGGAAGGGCGACAUUGGCAGUCAUUAAGAAAUUGUCCUUAAAUUGUGUGAAAGGGAUUAGGACCCGAAAUCAUAAAUAACAAAAAGAUGAAAAUAUAAGUAUGGAAUAAGCGAAUCUCCCGCAGUGAC